rnacentral:rRNA from 1 species
GACGAACGCUGGCGGCGUGCUUAACACAUGCAAGUCGAACGGAAAGGCGCUGCUUUUGUGGGGCGCUCGAGUGGCGAACGGGUGAGUAACACGUGAGUAACAUGCACUUGUCUUUGGGAUAACUUCAGGAAACUGGGGCUAAUACCGGAUAGGAGCUCCUGCUGCAUGGUGGGGGUUGGAAAGUUUCGGCGGUUGUGGAUGGACUCGCGGCUUAUCCGCUUGUUGGUGGGGUAGUGGAUUACCAAGGCUUUGACGGGUAGCCGGCCUGAGAGGGUGACCGGGCACAAUGGGACUACGAUACGGAGCAGACUCGUAUGGGAGGCAGCAGGGGGGAGUAUGACAGAGUGGGGGGAAGUGUGAUGCGGCAACGCUGCGUGCGGGAUGACGGCCUUCGGGUUGUAAACCGCUUUCGCCGGUGACGAAGCGGGAGUGACGGUAAUGGGUAAGAAAGCACCGGCUAACUACGUG